UACGUAGGGGGCGAGCGUUGUCCGAAUUUACUGGGCGUAAAGCGCGCGUAGGCGGUCAUUUAAGUCUGGGGUGAAAGGUUCAACGCUCAACGUGAACAGUGCCUUGGAUACUGGGUGACUUGAGUUCGGGAGGGGGCAGUGGAAUUCCAGGUGUAGCGGUGAAAUGCGUAGAUAUCUGGAGGAACACCGAUGGCGAAGGCAGCUGCCUGGCCCAGAACUGACGCUGAGGUGCGAAAGCGUGGGGAGCGAACGGG
rnacentral:rRNA from 1 species